rnacentral:lncRNA from 1 species
UGAUGUGUGAAUGUAGGCUAAAGUAUCACAACACAGUGCACCUUGAUAUGUGAAUGUAGGCUAAAUUAUCACAAUACGGUGCACCUUGAUAUGUGAAUGUAAGCUAAAGUAUCACAACACAGUGCACCUUGAUAUGUGAAUGUAGGCUAAAUUAUUACAACACAGUGCUCUUUGAUAUGUGAAUGUAGGUUAAAUUAUCACAGCACAGUGCACCUUGAUAUGUGAAUGUGGGCUAAAUUAUCACAGUACGGUGCAUCUUGAUAUGUGAAUGUGGGCUAAAGAAUCACAACACAGUGCACCUUGAUAUGUGAAUGUAAGCUAAAGUAUCACAACACAGUGCACCUUGAUAUGUGAAUGUAGGCUAAAUUAUUACAACACAGUGCUCUUUGAUAUGUGAAUGUAGGCUAAAUUAUCACAGCACAGUGCACCUUGAUAUGUGAAUGUAGGCUAAAUUAUCACAA